GCUGGCAUAGCUCAGUUGGUAGAGCAGCUGAUUUGUAAUCAGCAGGUCGCGGGUUCAAAUCCUGUUGCCAGCU
rnacentral:tRNA from 2 species